CUAUAAUUGUCAGCUAAGUGGCGCACGGGUGAGUAAUGUAUAGAUAACCUGCCCUUAAGAAAGGAAUAACAGUUGGAAACGACUGCUAAUGCCCUAUAUGCCUUUAAUACAUAAGUAUGCAAGGGAAACGCUUUAGUGCUUAAGGAUGGGUCUGUAUGGUAUCAGCUUGUUGGUGAGGUAAUGGCUCACCAAGGCUAUGACGCCUAACUGGUUUGAGAGGAUGAUCAGUCACACUGGAACUGAGACACGGUCCAGACUCCUACGGGAGGCAGCAGUGGGGAAUAUUGCACAAUGGACGAAAGUCUGAUGCAGCAACGCCGCGUGGAGGAUGACACAUUUCGGUGCGUAAACUCCUUUUAUAUAGGAAGAUAAUGACGGUACUAUAUGAAUAAGCACCGGCUAACUCCGUGCCAGCAGCCGCGGUAAUACGGAGGGUGCAAGCGUUACUCGGAAUCACUGGGCGUAAGGAGCGUGUAGGCGGGUAUAUAAGUCAGAAGUGAAAUCCAAUAGCUCAACUAUUGAACUGCUUUUGAAACUGUAUACCUAGAAUGUGGGAGAGGUAGAUGGAAUUUCUGGUGUAGGGGUAAAAUCCGUAGAGAUCAGAAGGAAUACCGAUUGCGAAGGCGAUCUACUGGAACAUUAUUGACGCUGAGACGCGAAAGCGUGGGGAGCAAACAGGAUUAGAUACCCUGGUAGUCCACGCCCUAAACGAUGUACACUAGUUGUUGUGAGGCUCGACCUUGCAGUAAUGCAGUUAACACAUUAAGUGUACCGCCUGGGGAGUACGGUCGCAAGAUUAA
rnacentral:rRNA from 1 species